rnacentral:lncRNA from 1 species
CUCUCCACCCUAUCUCUGAUACAUCUGAUUUCAAUCCAUCCAGUCAUGAGCUCUACUAGAUCCUUGUAGUUAGUCUUGUCUUUUGUCUUUUUCUAGGAUCUAUCUUUUGGGCCAUGUAAUGAUGUUGACUGAUUAACUUUUAUAUUUUGGUGUAUGUAUUGGAACCACUAUGUGGUAUCAGUCACUUUUUGAUUAUAUAUCUACUCCUUGACUUUUAAUGUAUGACCUUCAAAUUUAGUUGCUUUCAAUUAUGUGCAUGCUUAAGAUAUUAUGAAUUACUAUUUCAUAUCUAUGAUAUCCAAUGGUAUAUUCUUUUAUGAUUGCUGUAUUCAGGGGGAGUAAACAUUAAUGCUAGUAAAAUUAUUGUUAGUAAAAGAAGCUAAAGAAGUAAUAUUAGUAAAAUUAUUUCCAUCAAAAGAAAGAAAAAGAGAAAAUGUAUUCAAAGAAAAAGGGGGAGUAAACAAUCUUUUGUUGAUGAUGUCAAAAAGGGGGAGA